ensembl:lncRNA
GCGAUAUCAUUCGAUGGUCUUUCACGGCAUGAUAUUAAAUUGAGCUAAUCUGCGCAUGUGCAUUGAAUUAAACUACACCUAACAAUGUACAGUAGCGAGCGGUCGCUUUGAUGUCGCCCUGUUGUCGACUUUGCACUUCCUCUCAGGUUGUAAAAGCUUGAACACACAGCUGUCUGUCAUCAUACACAGCAAGACAGCCUGUGUGUGUGUGUGUGUGUGUGUGUGUGUGUGUGUAUGAAAAGCAUAGCCUACCUGCUGCUUUCUCAUUAUUGCCUUUGAGAGCCUCAGCAAUAGUUAAACAUGUAUGUGUGUGUGUGUGUGUUUGUGUGUGUGUGUAAUGGGCUCUUUAUGAACGGAAGCUAUUGGAUGUUUGAAGUUUACCCUACUGGCAAAGAACGAAGAGGAGAGGGGUUUGGGGUUUUAUGUAGAGUGUUUAUGUGUGUGCGUGUGUGUGUGUGUGUGUGUGUGUGUGUGUGUGUGUGUGUGUGUGAGUAAAAGGGGGCACCCACUAAUAAUCAUUUACUGCAAGUGUGUGUACGGUAGAAGUGGGAGGUUUACACCUAAUAAUCGUGCUUCAGCUUGGUGUGUAUGUUUGCGUGUCCACAUUCCUAAACAGGAACUGACCACCUGUUGAUUGGCCAGUCUGGCUCUGCCUGCUCGCCAUGCACUCCUCUCAACGGUUGUUCUCUUUGGCUUUUUUAACAAAUAAAUUAAACCAAUUACCACAAUGGACACGUAUGCGAUGAUAGCCCCAAGAGAGGGAUUGCUGAUUGAUUUUCUUUGGUUGGAGCGCUGAAAAGCUGAUGCUAGUGCAAGUGCUUAAACAUUUACAAUUUACAAGUAUUGUACAACCAUCUGAAAUAAACACAAAGUUUAACAAAUGUUUAAAGAUCUGAUAAGUUAAUCAUGACAUUUAUACAGUCUUAUUUAUACAGGGCUUUCUUUCUUUUUCCUGCUUUGAUGUUCUGUAAUGUAUUUUAAUUUGUAUCUCAAGUAAGAUUCCUUGCAUGUGUACACAAACCUUUCCAAUAAAGCUGAUUCUGCUGGUGAUACUGGCAGUAUAGAGGGGGAAAGACAAGUGACCGAUAAAGAAGUUGUGUCUUGAAAAGUGAACGUUACAUUUCUUGCAAAAGAGGCGCAGUAAGACAGAGUGACGCAGACAUUUUAUGAACACAAUUACAGUAUGAGAGACGUCAAAUUGCCCUUAAUGAUGUAUUUGAUAAUGAUGUGUCUGAGAGCGCAGGGUGCAGGUCUGUGGGCUACACUGACUACACUCUACCGCCAUCUGUCACCUACUGGAAUCAUUUACCGACGGAGAGAGAGAGAGACUGAGAACCAGUUUAAUCUCAAAGAACUUCAUGAAAAAAUCUCCUGGGUUGAAGGAGAGAGCGAGCGAGAGGCAGUGCUGAGACGGAGGCCUUUGUCAGUCCUCACUCUUCUUCUCCCUCCGUCUCUCUCGCAAAAGAAACCCAGAUAAUUGAAGGCCUCGCUUUGGUUUGGUAAUCAAGAGGAGGGACGGACGAAAACGGAGACAAAGUGAUUGUAGAGCGAGAGAGAGGGAAGCCACGUCCACAUGUGUGACUCACUCUCCCUCCCUCCCCCACGCUCUAUAACUCUUCCCCCAUGACACUCUACCUCUAUCUCUCUCUCCGUCAACGAGGUCAAACUGAACUCAACGUUGCACCGACUUUCCUGUAUAAUGCUUCCACUAGAAUUGAUUAUUAAGAGUAGUAAUGUCAAAAAUAGCAUGAGGAGUCGCACUAGUUGUUGGGAAGUCACUGCUAACAGCAUCGUGAGCACUCUGAAUGUCAGGGACACACACACGCUGUCUGUUUUUCAUGUACGCGCCAAAAUAAUGUCGGACACAGUUGGGGGGCUCUUACUGUCGCUGUGCUGUUGAAUGAGCAGGAUGGGCAAACUUCAUACCAACUUUUCAGCUGCCUUUGUCCCUGCAGCAUCAAAAUAGGAAGGCCCGCCUCUUGCUCCAUUCGUAGCCAAAUACAUGUGGCUCUGAAAGCCUCCCUAGACUUUUUUCUUCUGACGUUUACAUGCAUCAAAUGUGCCGUUCCUUGCCUUGUUCUGAAGAAGACAAUGUGCGCUGAUUACACGGCUAUGGCUGCAAUCGGUGGGUCGAUGCUCUAACACACCGUUUAUCUCCUCAAAAUAAACAAAAAGUGGAACAUCAAGAGGCACUCGUGGCUUUUUGUCUCUGCAGUUUCCAAAGGAUACAGACUUGAUCGAUUGUGCGCCUGUUGAAGUAUUUCAUAGUGCUUAAAAAAAGGUUGUGUUUUGCUUUCAUGACCAGAAAUGUGUCUUUGUAAGAUAUUGACUACAUGGUUUGUAAACCCAACAACGUUUAUAUUCUGAAUGUGCCGUCAAAAAAACACUGGUCGGGUCGCCCCCAAUAUAUCAUAUCCUUUUUGUUCCAGAAGUGACACGGCUGACUGGAGAGGGACGCUGUAGACGGACAGAUGGACCAACGUCUUUUUUUCCUCUCAGCGUCCGGAGCGGGACACCCUCCCCUCACACGCAACACCCGGGGUUACAUCACCCAUCUGCGGCCAAUCACACGCUGGCAGUAGACGAGUAGUUGAGAAUGUUCCUACGUUCGCACGGGCAGGUCUAAGGCCUAUGUGGCCCUCGGUCCAGACACGGGCUCCUCAUGCAGAAAGAAAGGGAGACAUCAGGGAGUGAAGGAGAGUCUGGUAUACGGGAUGUGUUGCAUUAGGAAGAAGGGACGAGGAGGCCAGCUGAGAGGGAAUUAACGAAUGGAAACGCAGACUGGGGGAGUGACUCAGGAGAGAGAGGGAGAGGAAUGUUUAACACACUUUCAUGUCUCUCUGUUGAGACUCACUUUCUCUGUUUCCCAACAUGCAGAGAAUAUCAAACCCAUCCCCCUCCCUUCUCCUGACACACACACACACAGACACACACACACAGCAGACGGGCGGAGGAUGGAAACUAUGAGCACGGCGCUGCUGCCAGACGGCAGAGAGAGAGAGGAACGACCCACAGAAGGAAAAAUAUCCAGCAAUGCUCUGACUCGGUUUGUUCUAUUCUUUUCUGCUCUGUGUUCGGUUUGAAUACGAGAGAAGGAGUGUGAGCACAGCGAGCCUCUGGUUGUGGAUGUGGAGACACUAGACCUUCAUUUGGGAGUAGAAAUCAAGUCAUGACAUGGCUAACGUUACACAUCCAGAGAGCGCGGGCAUAAGGUGCCACUAAAGAAAAUCUAACACGCAUUAAAUGUCUUCUCAUUGGAGGAGAGAGUGGAGUGUUGUGAUACAACACACACACACACACACCUUCAUCAACCACUGACUAUCAGAUUAUUGCAAAAUGCUACAAUAGAUUCAUAUGAUUAUGCAUCUAAAUAUGUUUUUCUAACUUGGACACGUGUCACCACUGCAAAGAUUGAGUAUAGCAGCACAUGUGCGAGUGCUCUCACACACACACACACACACGUAGUUGUACGUCCACGCGGCGGCCAUGCGCAGUAGCUGGUCCUGCUGCACUUGAGCGCUGUUCAGGCCUGGUCAGAAGACCAGACUGUUUGACUCGGAUUGCUAACGUAGCAUGUAGCAUCAUCCUGUUUUAUGGAGACACGAAAUGAAACACUGUGAAUCGGAUCUGUGGCUCAAUUGAAAUGUGUGUGUGUGUGUGUGUGUGUGUGUGUGUGUGUGUGUGUGUGAGAGUUAAUGACGUGCCAUAACUUCCUAACAUCCUCCAUUUCCUGUGUUGUAAAUCCGCAGCCUCCAGUCUCCCGACUCACCUGUGUUGUGUGUGCUUGUGUUUGUGUGUGUAUGUUUAUGUGCGUGUGUAUUCUUCACCUCAUGGUGCGCUCAGGCGCCAUUCGUAGCCGUUUAAAAAGGAAGCCCUGCGGUGUGCUGACUCAAAGAGGCGAUGCUACAUCUGGGUUGGACUGAUGAAGCUACGCUAACAAGCUAUUUAAAAAUGAGCAAUAUAGUCCGAUAACAAAAACGAAACAAGAAGCACUGUAAACUGUUUGGUUGCUUCUUAUACUCGUGUCUAAAGGCCAAUAAUACCAUGAGGCAGGAUGGUACAAGACUGGAAAGAUAAAUCACUCAAUAUUCAGUACAGAUUUAGAUCAGAACUGAUCAGUUAUGCUUUUCAAAUUGUCAAUAUCUGAUAAUGUUAUAUCGUAAACAACUUAACCGUGUUGAAAUUGACUUGAAGAGAACGACGGUUCAUUCAGUUAUUCCUUCAGGUUCUGUGAAAGUCGUUCCACUGUCAUUUUGUGAAAAUGAGUUUUGGUCGAAGGAACGUUAUGACGUUAUAAUGAUGUGCUCAGUGAUCUGGUAAAAUGUCGUAUUGGUUUCAAACUCAAAUAAAUACAGUUUAACUU